rnacentral:snoRNA from 1 species
GAGAUCAUACUUCACAGAAUCAUUUCUGUAGUGUGUAUUUCUUCGCUAUCAGCGAAAAUGCGACGG